CGCUGAGCGAGCCCGGACGCCAGCCGAGGGGCGGAGCCUCUGGGGGCGGGGCGAAGCCGCCCGCGUGACCCGAAAGCGGGCCAACCACCCUCUGCGGGGACCUCCGAUCACCAGGCUGGAUCCGGGGUUGGACAAACAGAGCCUCCCCUCCAUCUCCCACAGUGGCCUGGAUCUACCCUCAGCUGCAUUUAAACUGCAGGGUGGCUGGGCUCGGCUCCUGUUGCAGAGCAAUGAUGAACAUCGAAGUGGAGAUUGUGCAUCGUGAGGCUCCUGGUAAAGCAGGAAAUGAACAAAUAGAACUUCAGAGGUCUGAAAAGAAUGCCCUGUUUGUGGAAGAGGCAGGCUGCAGUUGUCACUGCUGAAGGAAGGAUUCACAACUCCCCCAUGCUUCUUGCAACUGGCAAUUGAGAUCUUUAAAUUUUUCAUACAAGGUUGUAAGAUGGCUGAAAAGGCUUUAAGUCACAUCUACAAACUACAAUAUCCAAAGGAAGAAGAGGAAUUGCCUCUUCUGGUAUCUCCUGUUUAAGGUUUGUGACUGCUUCACCAGUAGAGUACAGAAGAAUCUGUGUGACUUCCAAGGCAAGAUCAUACAAAGCUAUGUGACUUCCAACUUAUUCACUAAAAUGCUUGCUCUUGGAAACUUGAUCUGCUUUAGAAGUCUGACUGCUCUAAGGCUGCUAUGCAGUGAGAAAGCCAAAGCCACAUGGAUGGCCGUGAUUAGUAGUUCCUGAGGAGCCCAUCUUUUGAAUAUGCCAACCUGGGCUGCAGACAUAUGAGUAAAGACAUUCCCAGAUAGCCACUGUUUAUGGAACACAUUCCUUCCCACCUCUCACUAGUGAAUGUCCAAGCUGAGGCUCCAGCAGACAAAAUUAUCUGUAAACCCAGACCUGUAUUCUAGGGUCAGAAGGACUUCUUGGCUAUUAUUGUUCCAAUGACAGCAACAACUACAAGGCGCCACAGCUCUGCACCCACUGGCUGUUUGACCCUAUAGUGUUAGCUUCAUCCUGUGGUGUUAUCAGCCUCUCAUGAUCUGGGGUAGGCUGCCAGCAGCCAGCAGCCAGCAGCACUAACUGCUCCCUCGUUUACCUUCAGUGGAGAGAUGGAGAGAGCAUCUCGGCUCCCAUGGCCGUCAGAAGAAUUUAGGACUUUCUUCCUAGAUGUUUCAGCAGCACCACCUCCCACAUCUUAUUGUUCUCAACUGGAUCACAUGAUCAUUUCUGAACAGGACCUGUUGUGUCUCCCAGAGUCCUGCAGGCCAGGCCUGUGUGCAGAAGCCUUGUUAAGAUCUCACUCCAAGAGAAAUGGACAGUGGGCUAUUUCCAAUUGCCUCAAACACCCUUCUCUACCUGAUGGGUCACCCUUCCUCACCCCCAUCUCAACUCAGCCAUCAAGACAGCCUCUUUUGAUGAACUUUUCCUAAUUCCCUACCCUCCUCAGUCUCCCAAAGGUGUCAGAUGUUCUUCAGCAUCCUGACCCUCUGACUAGAACCCCUGAUAAAGCACAUAUGACACUGUGCUGUGAUUGUCAGUUAAUAUACUGCUACAUAAGGGAAAGAUGUGUUUCAUGUACCUUAGCAUCUCCAAUGCCUACCACAUUGCUUGAUACAAAAUAAGGAAGCAGUGUUAUUAAUGAAUAAAAAUAAUGCAAAAACCCAGGUUUGGG